AGCCGUGGCCCAUUCGUCAUCCACCCUUCCAUCCUUGUCAUCCCCUUUCCCUGUUCGGCACAGGGCAAGGCAUGGCCAUCGGCCAGCUCCCUCCCUUCCCGAAGCUCCUCCACUCCGUGCGAUUGCCGUCGUGGAGGGUCGCCCCGUUUUCCCGGCCAGCGACGUAGCCAAGUCGUCCACGCUCUUCCUUCCGAGCUCGCCACCUGUCUCACUCCCGUUUACGUCUCGCUCUCCUCUCCUUCUCCUCCCUGGGUUCGCCAUGGAUGGUGUUUGAAACAACUCGCGCUCGCCGGCCCGAUUCGCGAGUUUCCCUCCAUGGAUCCCAAAUCCACUUCACCCGAAGCUUGUCUACCUUCCUAGCUUCCUCCUCGACCCCUCCUUCGCGAGCCUCAUCGACCAAGUCGCCGGGAACCGAAGCUUUUCCGGCCGCCAGCCAUUAAAGCCGGCCGAGCUCCACUCCGCCGUCGAACUCCCACCUCCGGCCACCGUUUUCUUCGCCCCAUAGCUCAAAUCGACUCUAGGUACGAUAGAUGAACCACGUGAAGGACGUGAUAUUGGAACCGAACACGAAGACGAUGUUUGGUGGACAUAUCCAGAAGAGGCAAAGAACCAGGAGUACAUGCUUGGACCGGAAUACUCGUCAAGCAAGUGUCAUCUAACUAACACUGACUUAAUGUUAAUCCCAGGCAAGCCCCGGUGCAUGUCCUAUUAUUUUAAAUUAUGCUUCACUAUAUAUAUGUUUUAUCUAUUACUUGUGCAUUACGUAUUAGGAAUUGAUUGGAACCCUCGCUGCAUGAUCCUUAGGUUUCCCCGAAUUUUUACUAGUAUGUCUAGGUCGAUAGUGGUGCCAGGCUAAAAGAGUCCGGUAAAAGUCGGGUGACUUCGUGUCACUCGCGAGACAUAGGAAACUUUAGAAGCCGAGUAAUUGCCGGUUACUCGCGAGAUACAUUAUUAUCUUUAUACUUCAGUAUUUGUGAAAUGGAUUGUAUUGGAUAUGGAGAUGUGAGACCGGGCGGGAAUGAUGGAUAGGUAUGGCAGCAGGACAGGGUUUCUGUGUGUCUUAGUCCCGUCCGUGUCGAUUAAGGACCGGUCGUUGUGGCAGUGCUGAUCGGGGAUUGAAUUGUACUAACCGCAUGCCGGAAGUAGGAGGUAGUCGAAACCGGUAAGCCGAGUACUGCCUUGCUUCGAAAGUACAGGAACCCGCACCCAACUCCUGGGGCGAGUCGAGUAGUCGCGGAGAAUUGGGUUGCAUAUGUUUACUUUUGGUGGUCUCACGUUGAGCUCGGCUGACCAUAUGUCGUUGGGCUGGUUCCUGUAGUUCGAGGCGGGGAGGGGAAUGGUUGGCAUGUAUAGUCCGACGGGGCCAAUACGUGCCGUGUUGGUUAGGUCCACCUUGCAAGGUUAAAUCGGAUCGAUUCGCCGUGUCUCGCGGUUAUGAGGGCCUUGGUCUCUUUGUCACACCGUAGCGAAUGAGCUAGAGUUUUAGAGAUAUAAAAAUGGAUAUAAAUUCUUAAUCUUAUUUGGAUGCUCCACCUGUGUGUGUAGACAGGCAAACUUUAGUGUGAGUCUAGCUAUAUAAAAUAUGUGGCUAAAAUGUUGAAAGUAAGGAUACACUUCUAGUGCUAUUUCCGCAAAAACAAACCACCAGCCAAAUGCCUAGCAUGUCUAGAUAUGUGGGCUAAGUUAUACCCACUGGUCGGGUAAGUCUUGCUGAGUAUUAGUAUACUCAGGGUUUGUUGUUUACCCUAUUUCAGGUAUAGAAGCUAAUCAGGAUUCGCAUCAGUGGGCUCGAUGUGACGUCCUCACACGUGUUCAUAGUUAUCGUCUUGUUUUAUUGGUUCUCAAUCGAAUUUCUUUCUCUCAGGUUAUAUUCUCUUCCGCUACUGUCAUUUAUUUUAUGUAAAUUCCAAAUUUAAAGCUGUUUUGUAAAUAUUUAUGUUAUUAUCUAUUUUUGUGAAAUUAUAUUAUGCUGGUA